UUAGCGGCGGACGGGUGAGUAACACGUGGGUAACCUGCCUGUAAGACUGGGAUAACUCCGGGAAACCGGAGCUAAUACCGGAUAGUUCCUUGAACCGCAUGGUUCAAGGAUGAAAGACGGUUUCGGCUGUCACUUACAGAUGGACCCGCGGCGCAUUAGCUAGUUGGUGAGGUAACGGCUCACCAAGGCGACGAUGCGUAGCCGACCUGAGAGGGUGAUCGGCCACACUGGGACUGAGACACGGCCCAGACUCCUACGGGAGGCAGCAGUAGGGAAUCUUCCGCAAUGGACGAAAGUCUGACGGAGCAACGCCGCGUGAGUGAUGAAGGUUUUCGGAUCGUAAAGCUCUGUUGUUAGGGAAGAACAAGUGCAAGAGUAACUGCUUGCACCUUGACGGUACCUAACCAGAAAGCCACGGCUAACUACGUGCCAGCAGCCGCGGUAAUACGUAGGUGGCAAGCGUUGUCCGGAAUUAUUGGGCGUAAAGGGCUCGCAGGCCCUUUCUUAA
rnacentral:rRNA from 1 species